CGGAAUGAAUUUGAUUAAGUUUAGUGGCGGACGGGUGAGUAACGCGUGAGUAACCUGCCUCUAAGAGGGGAAUAACAUUCUGAAAAGAAUGCUAAUACCGCAUAACAUAUAUUUAUCGCAUGGUAGAUAUAUCAAAGAUUUAUCGCUUAGAGAUGGACUCGCGUCCGAUUAGUUAGUUGGUGAGGUAACGGCUCACCAAGACCGCGAUCGGUAGCCGGACUGAGAGGUUGAACGGCCACAUUGGGACUGAGACACGGCCCAGACUCCUACGGGAGGCAGCAGUGGGGGAUAUUGCGCAAUGGGGGAAACCCUGACGCAGCAACGCCGCGUGAAGGAUGAAGGUCUUCGGAUUGUAAACUUCUUUUAUUAAGGACGAAUAAAGUGACGGUACUUAAUGAAUAGGCUCCGGCUAACUACGUGCCAGCAGCCGCGGUAAUACGUAGGGAGCAAGCGUUGUCCGGAUUUACUGGGUGUAAAGGGUGCGUAGGCGGCUUUGCAAGUCAGAUGUGAAAUCUAUGGGCUCAACCCAUAGCCUGCAUUUGAAACUGCAGAGCUUGAGUGAAGUAGAGGCAGGCGGAAUUCCCCGUGUAGCGGUGAAAUGCGUAGAGAUGGGGAGGAACACCAGUGGCGAAGG
rnacentral:rRNA from 1 species